rnacentral:misc_RNA from 1 species
GAAAUGCGAUAAGUAGUGUGAAUUGCAGAAUUCAGUGAAUCAUCGAAUCUUUGAACGCACAUUGCGCCCUUUGGCAUUCCGAAGGGCAUGCCUGUUCGAGCGUCAUUACAACCCUCAGGCCCCCGGGCCUGGCGUUGGGGAUCGGCGGAAGCCCCCUGCGGGCACAACGCCGUCCCCCAAAUACAGUGGCGGUCCCGCCGCAGCUUCCAUUGCGUAGUAGCUAACACCUCGCAACUGGAGAGCGGCGCGGCCACGCCGUAAAACACCCAACUUCUGAAUGUUGACCUCGAAUCAGGUAGGAAUACCCGCUGAACUUAAGC